AAGACUUUACUUUCAGGGAUCAUUUCUAUAGUUUGUUACUAGAGGCCCGGUGCACAAAAUUCGUGCACUCAGGGUGGCGGGGGGGUCCCUCAGCCCAGCCUGCACCUUCUCGCAGUUCAGGAGCCCUUGGGGGAUGUCUGACUGAU
rfam:Myotis lucifugus cont2.1531, whole genome shotgun sequence.